UCUUUGAGAUGGGACUAGGCAGAGUUUUGUGUUACUUUACUCUAGUAAUCUUCAUUCAAUAUUCCUGCAGUCAGACACUGAUCGAGUCUGAUCCAGUUAUCAUCAAACCUGAUCAGUCUCAUAAACUAAUCUGCACAGCAUCUGGAUUAGACAUUAGUAGCUACUGGAUGGCUUGGAUCAGACAGGCGCCUGGAAAAGGACUGGAAUGGGUUGCAAUUAUUGAGGGUGAUAGUGAUAGGAAGUUUUACUCCAGUACUGUUCAGGGCCGCUUCACCAUCUCCAGAGACAACAGUAAGAAGCAGGUGUAUCUGCAGAUGAACAACAUGAGGACAGAAGACACUGCAGUUUAUUACUGCGCCCGUCGCACACAGUGAUACUUCCUCUUAUACAUCAGUACAAAAACACAGACUUACUACAGACACAUGAAAGGCUCAUUGUCUGUUACAAAAAAUGAUAGAAAAAAUGUAAAUUUUUUAUUUUUUAUUGUACAUUUCUUUUCUUUUUUUUAAAGCUGCUUUGAGAAAAUGAAUGGAAAAAAGUUAAUUAAAUCAACAGAUUAAGAACUAUGGAAGUAGAUAAUUUGGUUAAACCAAAUGAUUUACUAUGUUACUGCUGAUACUGUGUCUUAGGGUUUUCUCUCUUUUAAACCAUGCUGAUAAAAAUGCUCCAAUUCUGAAUUCCUACUUUCUUUAUUUACAUUGUUGGUCCAUGUGAAAGUUUUUUUUUUUUUUGC